AACAAGGUCUCCGUUGGUGAACCAGCGGAGGGAUCAUUACAGAGUGUAAAAACUCCCAAACCCUUUGUGAACAUACCACUGUUGCCUCGGCGGACCUACCCGGUAGCUACCCUGUAGCUACCCUGUAGCCGCCGGCGGACCACCAAACUCUGAUUAUGUAGAUAUCUGAGCGUACUUUUAAAUAAGUCAAAACUUUCAACAACGGAUCUCUUGGUUCUGGCAUCGAUGAAGAACGCAGCGAAAUGCGAUAAGUAAUGUGAAUUGCAGAAUUCAGUGAAUCAUCGAAUCUUUGAACGCACAUUGCGCCCAUUAGUACUCUAGUGGGCAUGCCUGUUCGAGCGUCAUUACGACCCUUAAGCCUAGCUUAGUAUUGGGAACCUACGUGCGGCAGCUACCCUGUAGCUACCCUGUAGCUCCUUAAAGACAACGGCGGAGACGUGGAGUCCUCUGAGCUUAGUAACUUUUCUAGCUUCUGAGGGCGCCGCGGCCCCUGCCGUAAAACCCCAACUUUUAGUGGUUGACCUCGGAUCAGGUAGGAAUACCCGCUGAACUUAAGCAUAUCAAUAA
rnacentral:rRNA from 1 species